rnacentral:sRNA from 1 species
GCUGGGCGCGGUGGUGCGAGCCUGUAAUCCCAGCAACUCAGGAGGCUGAGGCAGGAGGAUGUCAUGUUCAAGGCCAGCCUCAGCAACGAGGUCCUGAUCAAUUUGGCAAGACCCUGUCUCAA